GACUGGAAUCACACAUACACUGCCACAAGAGGUCUGCAGUGAAGGUCCCAAAGUCCCAGACAGAUCUUUCUGCUGAUGCAGCUGUUAAGAGUGUUUCAUAAACUGUGACAACACUAAGAGGCCAGGUGCAGUGCAUGUAAUCCCAGCACUUUGGGAGACUGAGAUGGGAAGAUCGCUUGAGGCCAGGAGUGCAAGACCAGCCUGGGCAACACAGCAAGACCUUGAUUCUACUAAAAAAAAAAAAGGAUCCUUCAACUUCAACAAUAAUAACACAAGGGAAGUGAAGAAAAACACUUUCUAAGGAAAUCUCUCUCUGAGCUACCAUCCUGCUAGGGAGAGCCUGAAAGCAGAAUGCUGACUUGACUAGCUCUGGUCAAUGAAAGAAAUCACCAGUGGAAAGGCUACCAGGGGGCUUUCUCAAAAGAGAGGGACAGUAAACUGCAAGAUGAACAACUCAAUGCCAUCCAGGUCUGGAUGAGAAAGAACAGUCGAGAGACUGAGUUUCAGGAGUGGAAACACUCAAAGCAUCAUCUUCCACUUUCUUCUCCGGCUGCUAGGAAGAAGGGAAAAACACAGACCUUCUGAGGACCUGCGGAGCAAACCACUGGCUUCAGAAAAGCAAACAGGGACUUCCCUCUGCGCAGCAGGAAGCAGUUAGCCUAGUCGGAGGCUUGACUGAAGAAACAAAUGUAUCCACUGAUAAUGGGCAAGAGCCUGAGGCUCUGGAGCCAAGGGGGAACCCUAAAAAGCUGAUUCAAGUAAGAGAACCAAGGAUCAUGCAAUUCCACAUGGCCACCUCGAAGCAGGAAUCCGUUAAUGAUAGUAAAGGACUGAUGAAAAUCCA
rnacentral:lncRNA from 1 species